rnacentral:rRNA from 1 species
AGUGAACGCUGGCGGUAGGCCUAACACGUGCAAGUCGAACGGCAGCACAGUAAGAGCUUGCUCUUACGGGUGGCGAGUGGCGGACGGGUGAGGAAUACAUCGGAAUCUACUUUUUCGUGGGGGAUAACGUAGGGAAACUUACGCUAAUACCGCAUACGACCUACGGGUGAAAGCAGGGGAUCUUCGGACCUUGCGCGAUUGAAUGAGCCGAUGUCGGAUUAGCUAGUUGGCGGGGUAAAGGCCCACCAAGGCGACGAUCCGUGGCUGGUCUGAGAGGAUGAUCAGCCACACUGGAACUGAGACACGGUCCAGACUCCUACGGGAGGCAGCAGUGGGGAAUAUUGGACAAUGGGCGCAAGCCUGAUCCAGCCAUACCGCGUGGGUGAAGAAGGCCUUCGGGUUGUAAAGCCCUUUUGUUGGGAAAGAAAAGCAGCAGGUUAAUACCCCGCUGUUCUGACGGUACCCAAAGAAUAAGCACCGGCUAACUUCGUG